rnacentral:pre_miRNA from 1 species
UUUAACUGUAACCAUAAAUUUGCGUGCCUAAUUUUGAUAGUCGGUUUUAUUUAAAUUUUUUUAUAAUUAGUAUUUUUGUUGUUAUGAGAUGAUAAAACAUGAGUAUUACUUUACUCGUGACUUAUGUUUUUAAAUUUUUUUAAAUAAUUUUCAAAUAAAAUGACUAUGUAUGCACUUACAAUGGAACGGAGGGAGUAGCG